AAAUCUGACGAGAGAAGGUUGUAAGGGUUAGCCAAGCGAGCCGUGUGCGGGGGAGAGUGUGGUAAUGACCUUCUAGAUCUAUUCUCGCGAGUGCUUGGUGCGUGCGUGCCUGCAGCACACAGGUCGUUAGGUGGUAAUACCUGCACUGUACCGGCCGAAUUACUAACGUGUUGGUGAAUACCCGAGUGCAACAAGACGCUCUACCUGCUUUUGUGUCUUCUAGAAGGAGGACUGAAGCCUCCCUGUAAAGGAGAUCACGCCUCGUCUUCUUCCACACGACUAGAGAAGGCGGAGUGACCGGUGCUCCAGACCGUUUGACACGGCCGUGUGAAUUGUCGCCCCGCACGAGACUCGCACCACCGCCUGAUCCAUGGACUGGGACCCGGAUUAAACAAUUCUUGCUGGAACUCCUGGCGUGAGAGGAGGGCAGCGUUUGGAGAAACCAUCAGAGGCUGAGCCUGGAGGGGAGGGGGAGUACUGUGUGACCUCACCAACCCAAACAAGGCGGUGUCCCGGGACUAGCCCCCCGCCACGGCAUCGCAGCUGUGGACGGGACGUCAUCCUCGGGCCAAAUCCGACAAGAACACCCUCACCUUGGGCCGGCCGUCCUCACACGUAUAUACAUCGCCAAGAAGAAGCCAUGGGAGGAAGACCCCGCCGCUGUCCUGCCGUCCUCUCCGUCCUGGUCGCCGUGCUGCUGACCUCCUGUCCGCGGGGGCAGGCGGAGCAGUGCCCGGGGAGGGUCGCGGUCCUGAACGGCGAU